AACGAACGCUGGCGGCACGUUUUAAGCAUGCAAGUCGAAUGGCAGUGGGGGCAACCCCAUGAGAAUGGCGAACGGGUGAGUAACACGUAGGUGAUCUGCCUGACGGAUGGGGAUAGCUUGUGGAAACACAGGGUAAUACCGAAUGAGCUGACGAGACUUUGGUUUUGUUAGUAAAGGUGCUACGGCACCGCCGACAGAGGAGCCUGCGGCUGAUUAGCUAGUUGGUUGGGUAAAGCCCUACCAAGGCGACGAUCAGUAGCCGGCCUGAGAGGGUGUACGGCCAGACUGGAACUGAGACACGGGCCAGACUGCUACGGGAGUCAGCAGCUAAGAAUCUUCCGCAAUGGGCGAAAGCCUGACGGAGCGAUGCCGCGUGAUCGAUGAAGGUCGAGGGAUUGUAAAGAUCUUUUCUACAUGAGGCAUAAGUCUGGGAGGGAAUGUCUGGAUGAUGACGUUAGUGUAGGAAUAAGCCCCGGCUAAUUACGUGCCAGCCGCCGCCGUAA
rnacentral:rRNA from 1 species